rnacentral:rRNA from 1 species
UAGAGUUUGAUCAUGGCUCAGAUUGAACGCUGGCGGCAGGCCUAACACAUGCAAGUCGAGCGGAAACGAGAAUAGCUUGCUAUUCGGCGUCGAGCGGCGGACGGGUGAGUAAUGCCUGGGAAAUUGCCCUGAUGUGGGGGAUAACCAUCGGAAACGAUGGCUAAUACCGCAUAAUAGCUUCGGCUUAAAGAGGGGGACCUUCGGGCCUCUCGCUUCAGGAUAUGCCCAGGUGGGAUUAGCUAGUUGGUGAGGUAAAGGCUCACCAAGGCGACGAUCCCUAGCUGGUCUGAGAGGAUGAUCAGCCACACUGGAACUGAGACACGGUCCAGACUCCUACGGGAGGCAGCAGUGGGGAAUAUUGCACAAUGGGCGCAAGCCUGAUGCAGCCAUGCCGCGUGUAUGAAGAAGGCCUUCGGGUUGUAAAGUACUUUCAGCAGUGAGGAAGGGUGUGUAGUUAAUAGCUGCAUACUUUGACGUUAGCUGCAGAAGAAGCACCGGCUAACUCCGUGCCAGCAGCCGCGGUAAUACGGAGGGUGCGAGCGUUAAUCGGAAUUACUGGGCGUAAAGCGCAUGCAGGUGGUUUGUUAAGUCAGAUGUGAAAGCCCGGGGCUCAACCUCGGAACCGCAUUUGAAACUGGCAGGCUAGAGUACUGUAGAGGGGUAGAAUUUCA